rnacentral:rRNA from 1 species
AGAGUUUGAUCAUGGCUCAGAAUCAACGCNNGGCGGCGNNNCUCAGACAUGCAAGUCGAACGCGAAAGUCCCCUUCGGGGGAUGAGUAGAGUGGCGCACGGGUGAGUAACACGUAGGUAAUCUACCUUCGGGUGGGGAAUAACCCAGGGAAACUUGGGCUAACACCGCAUAAUGCAGCGGCACCACAUGGUGACAGUUGUUAAAGCGGGGGAUUUUCGGACCUCGCGCCUGAAGAGGAGCCUGCGGCAGAUUAGCUAGUUGGUAAGGUAACGGCUUACCAAGGCGACGAUCUGUAGCCGGCCUGAGAGGGCGGUCGGCCACACUGACACUGACAUACGGGUCAGACUCCUACGGGAGGCAGCAGUCGGGAAUUUUGGGCAAUGGGCGAAAGCCUGACCCAGCAACGCCGCGUGAAGGAUGAAAUCCUUCGGGAUGUAAACUUCGCAAGAAUGGGAAGAAUUAGUAGGGGCUAAUACCCCCUAUGAUGACGGUACCAUUUGUAAGCUCCGGCUAACUCCGUGCCAGCAGCCGCGGUAAUACGGGGGGAGCAAGCGUUGUUCGGAUUUACUGGGCGUAAAGGGCGCGUAGGCGGUCAGCACAAGUCAGUUGUGAAAUCUCCGGGCUUAACUCGGAAAGGUCAACUGAUACUGUGCGACUAGAGUGCAGAAGGGGCAACUGGAAUUCUCGGUGUAGCGGUGAAAUGCGUAGAUAUCGAGAGGAACACCUGCGGCGAAGGCGGGUUGCUGGGCUGACACUGACGCUGAGGCGCGAAAGCCAGGGGAGCGAACGGGAUUAGAUACCCNNGUAGUCC